rnacentral:rRNA from 1 species
AGAGUUUGAUCAUGGCUCAGAGCGAACGCUGGCGGCAGGCUUAACACAUGCAAGUCGAGCGGGCGUAGCAAUACGUCAGCGGCAGACGGGUGAGUAACGCGUGGGAACGUACCUUUUGGUUCGGAACAACCCAGGGAAACUUGGGCUAAUACCGGAUAAGCCCUUACGGGGAAAGAUUUAUCGCCGAAAGAUCGGCCCGCGUCUGAUUAGCUAGUUGGUGAGGUAACGGCUCACCAAGGCGACGAUCAGUAGCUGAUCUGAGAGGAUGAUCAGCCACAUUGGGACUGAGACACGGCCCAAACUCCUACGGGAGGCAGCAGUGGGGAAUAUUGGACAAUGGGCGCAAGCCUGAUCCAGCCAUGCCGCGUGAGUGAUGAAGGCCCUAGGGUUGUAAAGCUCUUUUGUGCGGGAAGAUAAUGACGGUACCGCAAGAAUAAGCCCCGGCUAACUUCGUGCCAGCAGCCGCGGUAAUACGAAGGGGGCUAGCGUUGCUCGGAAUCACUGGGCGUAAAGGGUGCGUAGGCGGGUCUUUAAGUCAGGGGUGAAAUCCUGGAGCUCAACUCCAGAACUGCCUUUGAUACUGAAGAUCUUGAGUUCGGGAGAGGUGAGUGGAACUGCGAGUGUAGAGGUGAAAUUCGUAGAUAUUCGCAAGAACACCAGUGGCGAAGGCGGCUCACUGGCCCGAUACUGACGCUGAGGCACGAAAGCGUGGGGAGCAAACAGGAUUAGAUACCCUAGUAGUCC